CACGGCGCACGGGUGCGUAACACGUGGGCAAUCUGCCCUCCGAUGGGGAAUAACCCCGCGAAAGCGGGGCUAAUUCCGCAUAACAUUCCCCUCGGCAAAGCCGCGUCGGUGGAGGAGCCCGCGCCCGAUUAGCUAGUUGGUGAGGUAAUGGCUCACCAAGGCCAUGAUCGGUAGCUGGUCUGAGAGGAUGGCCAGCCACACUGGAACUGAGACACGGUCCAGACUCCUACGGGAGGCAGCAGUGGGGAAUCUUGCGCAAUGGGCGAAAGCCUGACGCAGCGACGCCGCGUGGGGGAUGAAGCUUCUCGGAGUGUAAACCCCUUUCGACUGGGACGAAUGACGGUACCAGUAGAAGAAGCCCCGGCUAACUACGUGCCAGCAGCCGCGGUAAGAC
rnacentral:rRNA from 1 species